rnacentral:misc_RNA from 1 species
CCGAGUUUACAACUCCCAAACCCCUGUGAACAUACCUAUACGUUGCCUCGGCGGAUCAGCCCGCGCCCCGUAAAAAGGGACGGCCCGCCCGAGGACCCCUAAACUCUGUUUUUAGUGGAGCUUCUGAGUAAAACAAACAAAUAAAUCA